rnacentral:lncRNA from 1 species
AGGAAGCGCGGGCGUCUGCCCUCCCGCCGCCCGUUUCGAGGUCGUGGAGAGGAGAGGAAAUGGCCCCGGAGCAACCACGCAGCUGCCUGAUCGUCUGGCCCGACCGCGCCUCAGUAGAUUUGGGUCCUGGUCUGAGCAGCCGGGCUGGUGCGGGUGUCCUCACUAGGAUAAUGAAUACAGCUCCACUACCUAUACUACCCAAGACGACCCCUCACACGCUCUGCGAGGAAACCGGUCUUCGGACCUGUGCCCCCAACCUGGUGGCCUGCACCAGUGAUAGGGCAAUUUGACUCCUAGUCGUGGGGGCUUGUGAUACUAUCUCUACCUACAGACACCCACUGCCUGUCACUGCACAGUAAACCUUCCUGCUCCACAGGGCUGCCUCCCCACUGGAAUUCCCACCGUGUUCCUGGUUCUGGAAAGUCUGUUUUCCCGGGUGGCCAUGAUACCCUCCCUACUACUCCACUUCUUCCUUGCAGUCACAAGCAGCAGAGUGGAAUGGGAGCUCGACACUGACUAGGCCUUUAACAGUCCUAAGUGCAACAGAAGAGCUGCAGCUUUCAGACAGACAGAGUGAAAGGUUUCUCAUUAGCAUCCCUCAACCUCGGGAAGCUUCUCCCGGUCCCGAAGGCUAAGAGCCUUUUCCAGCAGCCAGCCUUGCAAUGCUACCCUUCUCCUCCACCUCUGAAGCUUUGAGAUUGGGCCACCAUGUUGGACUAGGAUUGCAGAAGGCCAUUGCUGGUUCUGCACUUUCCUUUGAGCUUAGACGUCACAACUCAUCAUGCAAUUGUGAUUAUUACAGUCCUUUCUGCAGUGCCAGUGUACCCACCAGGCUGGACACUUCAAAAUGGCAGGGCUAUAUCUGUGUGGCUACUACUACCUUGCAGCAAGGCUUGUUGAGCCCUUACAGUACUAUAGAUGUCUUGGCCAGCUGGUUUGUUGUUAUAGCGACAGUGGACUGCAGUGUUCUGCUGAGACAACCGAGAAUUCCUCCAGACAUGACUCAAACAUCCCCAAGUGACAAAAUUACCUAGAAUUGAUAGCCUCCUCUCUCUCCACAGCCUAUCCUGGCGUCCCUGAAAUAAAUGAAUGCACAGCUCUGCUCUGUCUUAGAA